rnacentral:rRNA from 1 species
AUAUUGCACAAUGGGGGAAACCCUGAUGCAGCGACGCCGCGUGAGUGAAGAAGUAUUUCGGUAUGUAAAGCUUUAUCAGCAGGGAAGAAAAAGAACCAAGGUUCUUCGGACGGUACCUGAGUAAAAAGCCCCGGCUAACUACGUGCCAGCAGCCGCGGUAAUACGUAGGGGGCAAGCGUUAUCCGGAUUUACUGGGUGUAAAGGAAGCGUAGACGGCACGGCAAGUCUGAAGUGAAAGCCCGGGGCUCAACCCCGGGACUGCUUUGGAAACUGCCGGGCUGGAGUGCAGGAGAGGUAUGUGGAAUUCCUAGUGUAGCGGUGAAAUGCGUAGAUAUUAGGAGGAACACCAGUGGCGAAGGCGGCUUACUGGACUGUGGCUGACGUUGAGGCUCGAAAGCGUGGGGAGCAAACAGG